AGCUGUAGAGAACUGCUCAUCUAUCUUCAAAAGAAGACAAGUCUGCAAAUUAAGUCAACAACUUAGAAGAAAACUGUAUCUUCAUGGAUGAGAGACCAGGGAAGCUCUUGGCUCUCGUGCUCGGCAGCAGAAUGAAGAUGUCACUUGUGACAAACUGGCUACUAUGACAAGACCCUUAUUCCUUGGCUGGGAUCGUGUAGAGCCCUUUGAAGCUGCACUGAAACUGCAAUUUGGACCUUUCGACUGAAGAAAGAAAGACAUAAACAUCUUGGAUGACAUGGGGGAUGAGUUCCUGACCAGCAGCGAGAAGCAGAGCCAAAGAUAACACUAACAGAAAGAGAAUACAAGAGACAAAAGCACUGGUUAUGUGACAGAGCGUUCUGGAGGCAGAGAGAGUGGCACUGCCCUGUUCAGUGACAGCGCUUGCUGUGGGGCUUCUGUCCCCUCAGACAUUCAGGGGUGAAGGAAAGAGCGGAGAGGGGAAGGGGAGUAAUCACUCCAGGGAUGGCAGCGCUAGAGGAGGGCCGGCGACGAGCAGUCAUUCCCAUGUGGC